GUUUAUUUUACACAAUCAAAUUUUUGCGCACUUCUGAAAAUAAAUAUUAAAUGCGCAUAGAAUUUUCGUGCAGACAGAUGCGUAAAAAAAGAAUAGCUAAUUUCGUGGAACCAAUUGUUCGGAAAGCAGCUCCGGUGGAAAAAUAAGUGUGGGCGAAAAUUGUAUGAAUAAAGGUAUCACAAAAGGGAAAUGCAAAAUUUAAGCGAAGAAGAAAAAGCACAAAUCAUUUUUAUGGAACUUGUAAAAGAGGAAAGGGGAUAAGCGAGAAGAACAACACCAAACCAAUCUGUUCUGACAUUUGGCGAAAGAAAAUUGUGUGCGAAAGAAAAUUGUGUGCGAAAAGAGACGUGUGCAAUGUUAAUUUCAUAAUGUGUCUUAUUGUUCAUAUGAUCGUCUUGUGCGCAACCGUGACGAUAUACGCGUUAUAACAUAACUUUGUAUGUCCCAAGAGUGUAAUGUUGUAUGCUUUAUAACAGGAAUUUUAAGUUAGUUUUCGCAGUCUACAGAGAAACGACUUUGAGAGAAGCUCUCAUAAAAUCUGUUAGUAAAGUCUAACAUUUUAAAAUUACGAACGAAGGUUCACAACUUGCUCAAGCACUUGUAGCUAACACAAAAUAUAUGAUAUUGUGCGUAUCCUUGUAUGUUGAUCCUCUUGGCAGCCGUAACAUGCAAUAUGCGGAUGAAAAUUAUGAAUGCGCAAACUUCCAUUAAAAAUGGCGGAAAAGAAGAUCACGAAUUAGUAACGUCGAAUAGCUUUUGCUUUACUCUCAUGUCCUAUGUUUUUUUAUAAGAAUAACGUUUAUACGUAUAUACAGGCUCAGGUUUAGUAAAGAAAUAAACAUAUGGUAA